AAGAUUAAGCCAUGCAUGUCUAAGUAUAAGCACUUUAUACCGUGAAACUGCGAAUGGCUCAUUAAAUCAGUUAUCGUUUAUUUGAUAGUACCUUGCUACAUGGAUACCUGUGGUAAUUCUAGAGCUAAUACAUGCUGAAAACCUCGACUUCGGAAGGGGUGUAUUUAUUAGAUAAAAACCAACGCCCUUCGGGGCUCCUUGGUGAUUCAUAAUAACUAAACGAAUCGCAU
rnacentral:rRNA from 1 species